rnacentral:rRNA from 1 species
CGUGUAGGCGGUUGGUCAAGUCUGAUGUGAAAGCCCGGGGCUCAGCUCCGGAAGGGCAUCGGAAACUAGCCAGCUGGAGCGCGAUAGAGGAGGGCGGAAUUCCUGGUGUAGCGGUGAAAUGCGUAGAUAUCAGGAGGAACACCGGCGGCGAAGGCGGCCCUCUGGAUCGUUGCUGACGCUGAGACGCGAAAGCGUGGGGAGCAAACA